CCUACGGGUGGCAGCAGUGAGGAAUAUUGGUCAAUGGGCGCGAGCCUGAACCAGCCAAGUCGCGUGAGGGAUGAAGGUUCUAUGGAUCGUAAACCUCUUUUGUAAGGGAAUAAAGUGUGGGACGUGUCCUAUUUUGUAUGUACCUUAUGAAUAAGGAUCGGCUAACUCCGUGCCAGUAGCCGCGGUAAUACGGAGGAUCCGAGCGUUAUCCGGAUUUAUUGGGUUUAAAGGGUGCGUAGGCGGCCUGUUAAGUCAGCGGUGAAAGUCUGUGGUCCAACCAUAGAAUGGCCGUUGAAACUGGGGGGCUUGAGUAGGUGUGAGGCACGCGGAAUGCGUGGUGUAGCGGUGAAAUGCAUAGAUAUCGCGCAGAACCCCGAUUGCGAAGGCAGCCUGCCAAGGCCAGACUGACGCUGAUGCACGAAAGCGUGGGGAUCAAACAGGAUUAGAUACCCGAGUAGUC
rnacentral:rRNA from 1 species